rnacentral:rRNA from 1 species
AGGAUUAGAUACCCUGGUAGUCCACGCCGUAAACGAUGUCGACUUGGAGGUUGUUCCCUUGAGGAGUGGCUUCCGGAGCUAACGCGUUAAGUCGACCGCCUGGGGAGUACGGCCGCAAGGUUAAAACUCAAAUGAAUUGACGGGGGCCCGCACAAGCGGUGGAGCAUGUGGUUUAAUUCGAUGCAACGCGAAGAACCUUACCUACUCUUGACAUCCACGGAAUUUGGCAGAGAUGCCUUAGUGCCUUCGGGAACCGUGAGACAGGUGCUGCAUGGCUGUCGUCAGCUCGUGUUGUGAAAUGUUGGGUUAAGUCCCGCAACGAGCGCAACCCUUAUCCUUUGUUGCCAGCGAUUCGGUCGGGAACUCAAAGGAGACUGCCGGUGAUAAACCGGAGGAAGGUGGGGAUGACGUCAAGUCAUCAUGGCCCUUACGAGUAGGGCUACACACGUGCUACAAUGGCGCAUACAAAGAGAAGCGACCUCGCGAGAGCAAGCGGACCUCAUAAAGUGCGUCGUAGUCCGGAUCGGAGUCUGCAACUCGACUCCGUGAAGUCGGAAUCGCUAGUAAUCGUGGAUCAGAAUGCCACGGUGAAUACGUUCCCGGGCCUUGUACACACCGCCCGUCACACCAUGGGAGUGGGUUGCAAAAGAAGUAGGUAGCUUAACCUUCGGGAGGGCGCUUACCACUUUGUGAUUCAUGACUGGGGUGAAGUCGUAACAAGGUA